AUGAACGUACGAAACAUAUCGAGGUGGAUUGCCAUUUUCUUCGGGACUUGUUGCUUUCUGGUUUUAUCAAGUUGCUUCAUGUGCCUACUUCUCGCCAGCUGGCCGACUUGCUCACCAAGCCCCUGCCUGGUACUUUACUUCUUCCGCUACUCACCAAGUUGCAGGUGGUUUCCCCCCCCCCCCAACUUGAGGGGUGGUGUUGAGAUACGAGAUGCUACAUGAUUUAGCUUUAUAUAUACUUGUACAUUUUGUGUAUACUCAGUGUAUAUUGUAGAUAUAUUUCCGGCAUUGGGUUGUAACUGGGCUGUGAUGAUUUAUGUGUCUGAGCCCAAUGUCCAUUAUUUAAUUUUGGGCCGGAUCACCCGAUCCGACCUGGGUUGUAACUGGGCUGUGAUGAUUUAUGUGUCUGAGCCCAAUGUCCACUAUUUAAUUUUGGUACGGAUCACCCGAUCCGACCCGUCCAUUUGUAAUUAGUAUAAAUGUAGGUGAGAUAUUUUCUCACCUACCGAGAUUCAUUUUCCUUCACUCAUUUUCUGUAAUAA
rnacentral:lncRNA from 1 species